ensembl:lncRNA
CUGGGCUUGGGCAUCAAUAAAGUGGGUUGGUGGUUUCAUAGGAUGUCUUUAAAACGUAAUUAAAUUCAUGUAGAACGGAACUGUGGAAAGUUCUAGGAAGUGCAUCGCUCAGAGGUAACGCUUGCCGGAGUCAGGGACGCUUAGACUCCGUCCUCAGUUGAGGAUAGUCAGUUGGUCACUGUGGAGCUUGGGGCACUCCAGAAUAACUAGUGGUUGGACCACUUUGCCGUUUGGAACGGUUUAUGCACUUUUUUGGGUAGUAAAGGUUGGACCUUGGGCGUUGGACGCUUUUAAAUUGACUUAGGAACUUUAGCGAUUAGACCAGACACAGGUUGGACCUGAUACUGGGUCAUUGAUUAUCAAAAACUUGGAGUUUGUCCCUUGGAGGGUUAAUUCAAAUUUUGUCUAAAUUAUGUAGGUUGUGCAAUUUAAGGCCUUGUAAAUAUUAUUUAAUUUAUCAGACGUCUCUGUGUUAUAAUUUCUAUGUUUGUAUAUAGGCUCUGUCUGCCACGGGCACUGCAGCAGGCUGGUUAUUUUGAGAGUGUGUCUGUGUUUAUGUAAAUGAGAUGCUUGUGACUUAUUUAGAGUGACAUUUCCUGUUUACUAAUGAGUGGCUAAUGACUGACUGCAGAGCCAGGGUUAAGGACGACUUCAAUCUGUGUUUUAAGGGAAGAAAUGCAGUUUAUGUUUAUUAUAUUUGUGUGACUGUUGUUGAUUAUGAUAAGUAUUUCAUGAUAACUGUAGAAUAUGAGUAUGGGGUUUGCUUGACACGUGUCUGUACUAGGUAAAACUGUGUAAGACUGAUAGGAAGUUUACAGGGACUGCUACACAUGGCUGAUGCCUGUAUUUAAGACGCUGGAGUUGUUUAUUACAAUAUUGUAAGUAAAGUUUUAUUUCUUGCCAUGACUAUAUGACUUUUGCGGGGUUUUGAGAUAGGAUACAUAAACUGUUGAUACUUAAGACCGUUACCUGGGUUCUGACAAGUGAAAUUGAAUUUGAGAUAAUUUAAUUAAUAAAGAUGUCUGUAAGCGAUGUGUGUUUUGGGGUGUCGAAGUAAGAUGUUUUAGGAUUUUAGAUGGGUUUUGUUUCAGUUUGAGAUAAUAUAUAUACAGUUACAUUUUCUGUGUGUGUGUUGUUGAGUGACAACAUGCGCAGUUUAAAUUGGGCGCUGUUCCUUCCUCUUUUUAGUUUCAAAACACAAAGGCUGUGAGAUUAAAAAUUACUGUGAGUAACGGUUUGACUUUUGACUAGGGAAAUAAUAUGCUUACUUUUGGGUCUAUGAAGAUAUUUGACCUUCAGUGAUGUUAUGAGAGGUUUCAGUUUUCUUUUUCUUUUUUCUUUUGACUUGCUCUUUCUGAUCAUGGAAGGCAUGUCCAAGAUACUCGUAUGAAAGCGUAUUUUGUGUGAUUUUAACUGUGUGAAUGCUGUCAGUAUUUGAUUUGAGUGACUGUGUGAUUUGUCUGAGUGAGUGAAAAGGGGAAGUCUGAGAGAGAGAAAGGCAGUGCGUGUGAGACGAUUUAUGGCGUCUGAAAGAGGUUAGAGCAUUUAAAAGGUGUGUAUGGAAUAAAGGAGUGUGAAAUAUAUUUCUUGUGUGAUGAAAAGUGGGAUGUGCUAAAGUUUGAAAGUGCUUUUAAUUCAAGAAAUGCAUGAGUGAUGGUAUGAGAGGUUGAGUGUCUUUUUCUCUCAGUUCAAAAACACAUAAGCAUAUACACUUGGUUAAUUGUUUGGAUGUGUGAAAGAGCUCUAUUUAAAAGUGUGCAUGAAAUGAAUGUGCUCUGUUUUAGAUCAAGAUUUAGUAGAACUACUGAUCGUUUGUAGACUGUGAAAAUUCAAAGGGAGACAGAGUCUGACUGUUGCCUGCAGGAAGUCUCCGCGGAAGCGGCUGCAACAGGAAGUAUGUGUGUGUGUGUGGGACAGGAAAUGCAUGCCCAUAAAAGGAACUGAGUGUGUACAGAAAGAACACAGAGAGAUAGAUGAGUUAACUCUAGGCACAUGAAGCAAAUGAAGCCUUUAAGAAAAAUGCAUAUAUUACUAAUUAUAUGGUUUAGUGUGUCAAUACAGGUGGGCGUCUUUCAACUUUGCAACCUUGAGUUCAGCAGCAGAAAAGUAGAUUAAAAGAAUUGGGAGAAUAAGCCAGUUUUUGGCUCGAAAUUGUGCGGCUGGAUCUCUCACUUUGUCCCUGAAGCGGAGAAGAAGUUCAAAGGACAGUUAAUCGCCUGAUGAAGACAGAUAGAACAUCGUGGACUUGAAUACAGCAGGCAAACGACAGUGCCACUGAUCCAGUAACACUGAUGACGACUGACGACCAGCAGCAGCAUUGAAUGUGGGAUGUAAGGUGACUGACCAAGCAAUGAACCACAGGAUACAUGGCAGCAAGCCUACUGGCAGAGGACCAAGAAGCAUCUGCUACAUACAGUAAGAGACACAACAAUUAUUUUGUCCCCUGUGUACGUGGCUCUACACAAAGCAAUAGAUAGCUAAGCAGAUGUACUAAAAGCACUGAAUGAGGAUUCUGAUAGAAGUUCCUCACUAAUGGAUCCUGAUUGUGAGGAAGUCAGAAAUCCAUCUGCAGGUGUCCUUUUUAUGUACACUGUGUUUGAACAUGAAAGACUAUUAAAAUAAUCCUUUUUACCAGUUUUUUAAUCAUCAAAAUGAAUCAGGAUCUGUAAAGUACAAUAUUUAAGAAUGUGCAUUUCCAAAGACAACUUCUGAUAGUUUCUUUAUACUCUGUAGUUAAAUUUGGGGAAAAUGCAAAAUUAAAUGUGUAGAAAACUUUUAAACAUGACAUUUUAGUGACAAAAAUUAAGAAAAUGCUAUUUUCAUGCUAGACUGAGCAAAUAUCAAAAGUUGCACUACAAAAACAAGUUUUGAUAGAAAUAACACAAAACUCCUGAUGGUUGUUGCACAUCACUUGGGAAAAUAUAUUGUUAAAUAUAUACUUAUAAUAGAGUCUCUCACAGACACACACACUUCAAGCUCGGGUCCUGUACCAGAGGCCUGGCAGCUUGAGGGUCCGGCGCAGUAUCGUUGCUGUUCCCAGGACUCGGCUCUUCUGGACUGAGAUCUACUUAAAGAGCUUCUCGUGUUCCUUCUUCCCAUUUGCCUGUAGGAUUCCCUCAGGCAAGUGGGAAUCACAGCUGUCCUCGAUGUCUGCAGUGUUGCCUGGGGUCUUUGGCUGUGAGUCGUUGCUUGGCAGUUUCCAAGUACUCAGCUAUGGACAGCUUGCUAUACUUCUUAGGCACCUCUUUCUUCAACGCACCUUUCUACAACUCCAAUAUUUGGCUAACUUCCCUCUGUGCUACCUUGAUCUUAGCCUCUAGUCUCCUUCUCCAUGGAGGGCACUGCUCCUUGUGGCUGUUCAUCUUGUAGCCAAGCAUCUCCAUGAUCACUGAUGCCGUGGUGUAGAUCAGCUGAUUAGUCUCAGUGAUGGUUAAGAUAAGAUAAGAUGGCCUUUAUUAGUCCCACAGGUGGGAAAUUUGUUUUGUUACAGCAAAAGUGCAAAGUUAUGUAGCAGAAAUUAGAAAACACUGGAAUGCAAUAAAAUAAAAUAAAAUAAAAUAAAAUAAAAUACUAUGUACAAUAGAAUAAAAUAGAAUAGAAUAAUAUAUACAAUAGAAUAAAAUAGAAAUACAAAUACUAUAUACAACUGAGUAGGAAAAUACAAAAACACAACUUCGUCAGAAGAAGAAUUGCACAUAUAGCAGUCUUAUUGCACAUGUGUGGGUUUGUGUGUUUGAUCAGCUGCAAAAGUCUUUAUUGUAGAGUCUGACAGCAGUGGGGAGGAAAGACCUGCGAAAUCUCUCCGUCCCACACCGUGGGUGCCGCAGUCUCCCACUGAAGGAGCUGCUCAGUGCUGUCACAGUCUCCUGCAUGGGGUGGGAGAUGUUGUCCAUCAGGGAUGACAGCUUAGCCACCAUUCUCCUGUCACUCACCACCUCCACUGGGUCCAGAGGGCAUCCUAGAACAGAGCUGGCCCUUCACUCCAAACGACCUGAGUCUCCGCAGCAGGUACAAUCUGCUCUGCCCUUUCCUGUAGAGGGCGUCUGAGUUAUGAGUCCAGUCCAGUUUGCUGUUCAGAUGAACACCAAGGUACCUGCAGCUGUCCACAGCCUCAAUGUCCAUACCUUGGAUGUUCAGUGGUUGCAGUGGAGGAUGCUUGUGCCUGCGGAAGUCUACCACCAGCUCCUUGGUUUUACUGGCAUUGAUCUGGAGGUAGUUCAGCUGGCACCAGUCCACAAAGUCUUGGGUCAGUCCUCUGUACUCCUCGUCGUCCCCAUCAGUGAUGAGGCCGACUAUUGCAGAGUCAUCAGAGAACUUCUGCAGGAAGCACUGGGUGGAGUUGUGGGAGAGCUGACAGCUGGCUGCCGGCGGAGCUCACGGGCACGUCACUGCAACCCCCCCCGGCUUCUGCUCCGCGGCUGCUGAGUGACCCCUCAUCUGGGACUCUCCUCAGCUCUUUCUGGGAUAGUGACGCGGCUGCCCCUCUGUUGGUCUUCCUUGGUCUCUUGUGUUCUGGGG